rnacentral:rRNA from 1 species
UAGGGAAUCUUCGGCAAUGGACGGAAGUCUGACCGAGCAACGCCGCGUGAGUGAAGAAGGUUUUCGGAUCGUAAAGCUCUGUUGUAAGAGAAGAACGAGUGUGAGAGUGGAAAGUUCACACUGUGACGGUAUCUUACCAGAAAGGGACGGCUAACUACGUGCCAGCAGCCGCGGUAAUACGUAGGUCCCGAGCGUUAUCCGGAUUUAUUGGGCGUAAAGCGAGCGCAGGCGGUUAGAUAAGUCUGAAGUUAAAGGCUGUGGCUUAACCAUAGUACGCUUUGGAAACUGUUUAACUUGAGUGCAGGAGGGGAGAGUGGAAUUCCAUGUGUAGCGGUGAAAUGCGUAGAUAUAUGGAGGAACACCGGUGGCGAAAGCGGCUCUCUGGCUUGUAACUGACGCUGAGGCUCGAAAGCGUGGGGAGCAAACAGGAUUAGAUACCCUGGUAGUCCACGCCGUAAACGAUGAGUGCUAGGUGUUGGGUCCUUUCCGGGACUCAGUGCCGCAGCUAACGCAUUAAGCACUCCGCCUGGGGAGUACGACCGCAAGGUUG